UAAAGAAAAAAAAAUAAUAAGUAAAUAUAUAUUAUAAGAAAAUACCCAAUUUAAAAAAUGGAAAAUUACAUUAAGAUUUAAAAAUAUAUCUUAAAAUUUAAAAUAUAGAUAUUACGUAAAUAGAAAGUAUAACAAAUGGAAAUAUACAAUUUAAAAAAAAAAGAGAAAACGUACAUUAAGAUUUAAACAUCUAUAUUAAAAUAUAAAAUAGAGAUAUUAAGUAAAUAAAAAGUACAAGAAAUGGAAAUACAUAUACAGGAAAAUAAAUAAUAAGUAAAUAAUAUAAAUAUAUAAUAUAUGAAUUAUAUAUAUAAUAAUGAGUAAAUACACAAUUUUUUUAAAAAAUGAAAAAGUUCAUUAAGCAUUAAACAUCUAUCUUAAAAUAUAAAAUAUAUGAUAAAAGUAAAUACACAAUUUAAAAAAAAUGGAAAAAGUACAUUAAGAUUUAAAUAUCUAUUUUAAAAUAUAAAAUAUAGAUAUUACGUAAAUAAAAAAUAUAAGAAAUGGAAAUAAACAUUUAAAAAAAUGGAAAAAGUACAUUAAGAUUUAAACAUCGAUCUUAAAAUGUACAUCUAUCUUAAAAUGGUAGUAAAUUAUAUAAAAAUGGAAAUACCACAUUUAACAAAAAAAAAUAAAAAUGUAUAGUUUUACAUCAAGAAAGUCUCUAUAAAACUCAUUAUUCCAUCAACAUCAACCUCACACUAUCAAGGAAAACUUCAAAGCACUCGAGCAAAAAAAUGGUUCCACCAUCAACUCUUGCCGUCCCAAAAACCUUUAAUGACCUUGAAAGAGAUUUUUUAUAACAACGAACUUUUUGUUAGGUGGAUUCAUUGUUGGGAAACCCGCAACUUUCAAAAGCCAAACUUAUUCAUGGGAAUUGAAUUGCUUUUCAUAGACUCAAAUGUAUUCUUACAAAUUUAAAUUAAUCAAAUCCAUAAUUUUAUUGUUAAUAUUCGUACUAACUCUUUCAUGAUCAAACCAUUACAGUUAAUAAUCAUUCAAGCGUUUAUCCCGAAACACUUCAUUCC
rnacentral:lncRNA from 1 species